rnacentral:tRNA from 2 species
GAAAAUGAUGGUUUAACCCCUUCCCUUAUUAA